UCAGUUCCUGCAUAGGCAAAAAAAUUAAUUGUGCUCUCCUUUAAACACCAGCAUUAAUAUUCCAACAGGAAGUACAGUUACUGGUUCUGACUGGGACCCUGAUCUUACAUAGACUCAAGGACUAUAUAUUCACCAUGAAAUACAGUCACUGCUAUGAAGAACUUGCCUUCUACAGUAAACAGGACAGACAGACAAAAAAAUCAGAAGAAGAAAAGUUUGUCGACUCGUAGAAAUGGUAGACUUAUGAUCCCAGCCUGGUACCCACAGAUCCUGCUGCCAAGCCAGGGCUACUGGCUGUCACCAGCUCCUGUUCCCUACUUUUGUAACAGAUGCUUCAAGUCAGAAUGAAGCUACUUAGAUACUACUUUGUAAGUAGUAAUGUAAGGUAAGCAGUAGCUAUAAAUUUAAAAACCAUUUAUGUAUAGCAGCAUAAAUUACCCCUGCACAGAGGUCAACACAGU